rnacentral:rRNA from 1 species
UACGUAGGGUGCGAGCGUUGCUCGGAAUCACUGGGCGUAAAGGGCGUGUAGGCGGGAAUGUAAGUCGGGCGUGAAAUCCCUAGGCUCAACCUAGGAACUGCACUCGAAACUGCGUUUCUUGAGUAUCGGAGAGGAAAGCGGAAUACCUGGUGUAGAGGUGAAAUUCGUAGAUAUCAGGUGGAACACCAGUGGCGAAGGCGGCUUUCUGGACGAUAACUGACGCUGAGACGCGAAAGCGUGGGGAGCAAACAGG